ACGCAGCGACGCCGCGUGGGGGAGUGAAGGUUUUCGGAUUGUAAACCCUUUCGGUGGGAAGAGAAUGGACGGUACCAUCGGAAGAAGCCCGGCUAACUACGUGC
rnacentral:rRNA from 1 species